UGAGUAGGAGGCUCUGGUCUGAGUGUCAACUGAGAACUAACGCUGUUGCAGUUAACCUUCAAAGACAGCAGCACUUUGACACAGGGGUUGGUGAGAUCUGGGAAGACGUUACCCCGAUAAUCUACACUCUCAAGGCCCACCAUCUAAAAUCAGAAUGGAAGCUCAAGGUGAAAAACCUCUCAGCUGUGGGACAAUUUGUCUGAAAUAUCUACUUUUUCUCUUCAACAUUCUGUUUUGGCUGGCAGGAGGGUCCGUGCUGGCAGUGGGAGUGUGGACGCUGGCGGAAAAGAGUGACUACAUCAGUUUACUGAACUCCAGCUUCUACUCAGCCUCAGCUUAUAUCCUGAUAGCUGCCGGGGUCAUUGUGAUAGUGACCGGGAUCAUUGGAUGCUGUGCAACUCUGAAGGAGAUGAAGAGUCUUUUGAUUGUGUAUUUGGUCUUGUUGCUCUGUGUUUUCCUGCUGGAAAUCAUUGCUGGUGUGCUGGCUUUCAUUACCUACCAAGAGUGUUUCCCUCUCUGCCACCAGCUGGACGAGGAGCUCAGACAGAACCUGAAGGUGACCAUGCAGCAGAAAUACCAGCAGCCGGGGGAGGAGAGCGUCACGCAGGCUGUGGAUAAACUUCAGCAGGAGGUUAUAUUGUCGUCUUUUUUCUUUCUUUGGUCCUCUCUGCACCGGCUCCCUCCCAGUUUAAAUGUUGUGGCAGUCACAACUCCUCAGACUGGAGAGACUGUGCUUGGAUCCAGGCAGCAGAGAACGAGCGGCUCGUUCCUGACAGCUGCUGUAAAAGUCCAGAUGACCUCUGUGGUCGCAGGGACCAUCCCUCCAACAUCUACAAGGUGGAGGGAGGCUGCAUUAUGAAAUUAGAAGAGUUCAUCCUGAGUCAGUUGUAUAUUCUCGGUGCAGUGGGCAUUGGGAUUGGAUUUUUACAGCUUGUGGGGAUGAUGUUUACUUGCUGCCUUUAUCAAAGUUUGAAAGAAGAUCCGUACUGAUUUUUUAUAUUGUUUAAUAUCGCAUCAUGUGUCACAUCAUGAAUUGUAAAAUGUUUGGUUAGGUACUUUAAUGCCCCAAUUAUUCAGUCAUGGAUGCUGUGAAGUGCCAAUUCAAAUUAUGACAUGAUUUUCAAAGUGCACACACUAGAGAUGCUUUAAUGCUGCUGGGCAGCAAUGUCCUCUUCUGCAAAAUGCCAUUGCAUGCUUUAAAUAUCUUCCCUUGUAUGUUAAGAUUAUGAGUGUGGAAGAACUUGUAAACAAAAAAACACAUUUUGAAUAGCAGAGAAAUAUGAGCAUGCUGUGGCUACAUUUGCAAACAGUGUUGGUCUUGUUGUUUAUCUAAGUUUUUUUAUGUAUCACAUAUUGUUUACCAAAAAGUGUAAUUAAAUAAUGAAAAUAUAUUUUUGUGUUUGUUAAAAUGCAAAUAAAAUGCUUUAUUAUUCCCAAA